rnacentral:misc_RNA from 1 species
UACAUAAGGUCUCUGUAUUUCAUACCAUCCAGCAAGGCAAAGUUAAAAAAACAGCAGGAAUAGAUGAUGUUCAAGUUCCAUUGUAGCAAUUCAAAAUCUGACAACUAAUCAUUAUCUAUCAAAGAUCAUAAAUGGAAAAAGAUUUUGGAGUGCUUAGUUGACUUUGUGCAUAAAAAUUGCUGGCAUUGGCAACAUGUCUAACACCACAAUCCACAUGAGCAAUAAACUUCGAGUUAGUUUGCCAUAACAAAGAAAAAUAACCUCUUAAAGCAAUUGAAUCAUUCAACAUUCUUGCUGUCUUAAGCUAAGAAUCGUCUUUGUUUCCUCAUCUACAUCUAUUUUAUCAGCCUUCAUGCUCUCCAAAAGACCAUUGACCUGUUUGCCACCUCUGACAUAGGCCUUAACUAGAGUAUGAUAAAGUUCCCUAUCUUUUGGAACCUUAUUCUCCAAUGAGCUCACAAAUGCUUCUACGUCUUCAGCAUCCCCAUUAUCAGCAAGCCAACUCAAUAUGCUAGAAAUCAGUGUAGGUUUGGGCCUCCACCCUUUAUUUUCUGCCUGUAAAGUUAGUGCUUCUUUCAUGCAUUGAAAAGCUUUUUCCAUAUUCUGCUUAUCCAUAUAUCCUGAUGCAAUAAUAGACCAACUAUUUGGAGUUGCAGUCUUCUGUUUUUUCACUAUAUCUCGAAGCAUCGCUUCAGCCUUUUCAACUAAUCCCUUCUGACAAUACCCAAUAAGGAGGACAUUCGGAACUCUGAAAUCAUAACACUGGCAAGAUGACUCCCACUCUUGUAGCAAUUUCUCAGCUUCUUCAAGCUCCCCAAGCUUGACUAGAGAACCCAGCAUGGUUAUAUAAUCUCUGUUGACUUGCUUCUUACACUUGGCUUUUGCAAGACCCCACAACCUCAUCAUCUCAUCUUUAUUGCCAAGACUUGCAUAAAGUGAAACCAAAUGAUUGUAGCCUAGUGCAUCUUUAGUCACCUUUUCUUCACAUUUCUUCAGGUAGACAAGUGCCCUCUCUUUUAAACCUGCUUUUAUGUAGAUGUUGGCUACUGUGGAAUAAGUAAUCCAAUCCACAGAGAUAUGAGGUUGGUUAUCCAUUUCUUCAAGAAUUUUCUCCACACCACUAAGAUCAGAUCUUGCUGCACAAGAGUUCAUGCAAAUUCUGUAGCUAAAAUUGUCAGGAGAGACACCAUUCUCCUUCAUCUCUGAAAGCACAUCAAGAACUUUUUCUAGCUGCCCAGUAUUUGUGUAGAGACACAUGAGGUCGUUGUAGUUGAGAGGAGAGGAAGCAAAACCCAAUUCCUUCAUCUUUUGCAUAUGGUUAAGGGACUUCUCAACAAGACCUUCUCUAACAUAACAAUUUAGAAGAGCACCAUAGAUCUUGGCAAGCUUAGCUCGGCCCCCCAAAUUAUGGAAGUAGCUCUCUGCAGAUUCCAGCCCACGAACUCUACCAAUCAGAUCCAAUUGCACAGCACGGUCACCUGGUGAGAAUGUAUUGCCUACCUUGCCACUCAUCCAUUCAGAAACCUGCACCACCAAGAAUCUAAUAUCAAAAUAAUAAGUAACAAAGAACCCUAAGUUACUUCACGACUUCACCAAAUGAAAAAUCACAUUUAAAAGGGACAAAAUAUAUAACCAAAUGAAAUAAUUAUUUCCAACAUAACGCUUAAUGUAAGGGAGAUUCAUUUUCUUACUAUCUCAACCCUUAUUUUUACUCAAUUUAUCUUUAUAGAAAGGAAAACCUUGAACUUGGUAUCAAUGAGUUCAUUAAGCUCAAUUACAGUCAUCCUAAUAAUAGAAAUUAAAUCAUUGAGGAAUAUCAGACUCAGACUUCCUAUCACUUAUUCCUCCAGAUUCCUCAGCUACCAAAUGCAGAGCAUUUCUCAAAUAUAAAUAAAUUCUUUUAGAUAACCUUAUGAAGCAUAAUCGUCAACUAAAACUAAAAUCACAGCUUAAAUUACUUGCGUUCUUAUCUAUCAAAAACAAACACACACAGAAUCCACAUCAAUUUAAGCAGAAGUCUCUUAAUUUUACGAAUAAUAGACAACCACCUAUUAUCUGAAAGCAAAACAGAAGUUUUGCAGAUCAAAAUUUGCUC